GACGGAGCAACGCCGCGUGAGUGAUGAAGGCUUUCGGGUCGUAAAACUCUGUUGUUAGGGAAAAACAAGUGCUAGUUGAAUAAGCUGGCACCUUGACGGUACCUAACCAGAAAGCCACGGCUAACUACGUGCCAGCAGCCGCGGUAAUACGUGGGUGGCAAGCGUUAUCCGGAAUUAUUGGGCGUAAAGCGCGCGCAGGUGGUUUCUUAAGUCUGAUGUGAAAGCCCACGGCUCAACCGUGGAGGGUCAUUGGAAACUGGGAGACUUGAGUGCAGAAGAGGAAAGUGGAAUUCCAUGUGUAGCGGUGAAAUGCGUAGAGAUAUGGAGGAACACCAGUGGCGAAGGCGACUUUCUGGUCUGUAACUGACACUGAGGCGCGAAAGCGUGGGGAGCAAACAGGAUUAGAUACCCUGGUAGUCCACGCCGUAAACGAUGAGUGCUAAGUGUUAGAGGGUUUCCGCCCUUUAGUGCUGAAGUUAACGCACANAAGCAUCUCCGCC
rnacentral:rRNA from 1 species